CACUUUUGGCAUAUUGUAUUCCGACAUGUUGGACAUGUUAAAGCAAGUAAGCAAACUCAGACAAAGAAAAUUUGUCAACUGAAAAGUCACCAACUUAUUCACCUAAGCUUUUGAAAUUCCUGCCACUGAAGAGACAAACAAUCUGUUGUCCUGAUGUCACUAAAGAGGAUGGACUUUUCUUAAAGGGGCGGAUUCCCCAAUACGACAGGGUGGACAACCAUUCAAGGGACAUGGACAAACUCAUCUUUUUUAUUAAAUAAAAAUAUAAUUUUUAUUAGCAAAUUAUCAAUACACUCAAAUUAAGUAAUCUCUUAUUUAACAAAGUAUUAAUACAAUAAUUUUUUUUUUUUUUUACAUUUUAUGAUUUGGCAAUAUUCUACUAUCAUUCAGAUUAAAUGCGCAGUGCAUGGGACAUAGCAAAAUAACACACAUACUCUUACACAAAACUAAAAAAAAUCUAGAAAAUGUAUCUAAAGAGCCAAGUAAUGCUUUUGAUAUGAAUAUAAAAACUUAGCCUAAUAUAACACACUCUUUCAUAGUCAUUUUUAUGUUAUGUUAUCAUGGCAAAUGAGUUAUGUACAGGACACCAAAAGGCACCCUACAGUGAUAUUGACCCAUCCCUUGGUUAAUUUCCCUACAGUUCUUUUAAGGUGUCUGUCCCACACUAUUGUCUAUCUGAAGAUCUGAGGUCAUUGCUGUAUAUCCAAGAUAUUCAGUAUUUAUGUGUUUUACUUUGUAAUGCAUGUAGAUGACCAGAAGACAGAAAUACAUAGGUAGAGAGGGGGUGGGAUGUUUUAUGAAAUAAGAGUCAUGAGAGAGUUACUCAGCAUUAGUCAAUCACACACACACACACACACACACACACACAAACACGGAUAUGUAAAUAUAGGCAAAUUCACACCUGCAGGUGUGGAAAUGUGAACAUAACAUCCUUCUCUCAAAGGAUUUCUCAGCUUAACAUUUCAUUUAAAGCACUUAUUUGGUCCCACUUUUAGGUGCCCUUAAAUACUUUGUACUUGCAUUUAAAUUAAUCAUUUGAUUUGGUACAUACGUUUUUACAUUGUACUUUUAUUUUAAAAAUACCUGCAUGUAAUUACAGAUGUAAUUACAUAUUAUAAUUGCACUGUUGACCCAUCCCUUACACCUUAAACCACCCUUAAACCUACCCAUACCACCAAACCUGUCCCUAAUCUUACCCGUAUCCCACCUCAAUAGCAGCAAAAGUGUUUUGCAAGACAAAAUGAACACAAAUAAGUACAUUCAUUGUACUUAUUUUUUGAUGUAAGUACAUAGUAGUUAAGGCUACCUAAUAUAGUAGGACCGCUUAUUUUUUGUGAUUCCAACAUGUAUCUUAUACACAUAAAAUAAAAAUGCACACUCGUACAUCUUUUACAACGAAACAGACAGACCUGAUUUACCAUUUAAAUUUAUUGAUCUAGUAUUCAUCUUUUGAUACAGAUGAAAUAGAUAGAAAUAGAAGCAUUACAAUAACUCUAUAUAUUAAUAGCCACUAAACUGACAAGUCUUCUUGUUUAAUGUUCAAGCCUAUAUCUUAAUAAAUAAGAUAUAUUAGCAUGAUCUACUUAAGUAAACCAUGAUUUUAACUCACACUACAGCAGUGGGCAUACAGCAUAGUUUCCAGUGCAUUAAGACUAUAACCUGUCUUCUCCCCUGAGAACUACAACUGUUCUAGACAAACUGUUCUAGAACUAGAAUUUCUAAUCAAGCCAUUUUAAACACAGUUUUUAAAUAUUCAUAUUUUGGCAUUUUCUCCAGAGCGAACAUAUUUGAUACAGGUUUAGUCUCUUGUACAUUUGAUCUGUAGAGUAUAACUAUAUGUCUUUUUACAGGUGUGAGGUGUUAGCAUAAGGUGAGGAAUAUGACCGCACAAAGUUGUCAGACCUGCACAAUGGCAAACAAAUGUCACAAGCAGCCCAACAAUGCUCGUCAAAAUUGCUGAAACCUUUCGGUUCUAAAAAAAACCCAGUUCAAUCUAUUAAAGCAGGAUAAAAUGAGGGUCCCUAUCAAGAUCACAGACUAGUGCAGAAACAUUAGGUCAUUUAUGUGCAAAUAAUAAUUCUGUCUAGACUAGUGCAACACAGUGUAAUGUAACAAAUGCUUUAUCUCAUUAUAGAAUAGAGACAGUAUUAAGUAUGAGGCUUUAAAAACUCAAGUUAUUACUGAAUAAAUGAAUCCCUGUGAAUGAUGAAAUACAAUAAAAACUGAAAAAAAAAAUCAAUAAAAAUGCUAUAAUAUAUCCUCACACCUAUUGCAACUAUUCGGCCUGCUUGACUUUGAAAUUGGAGGACAGAACAACAGAGACAUAACAUCUUUUUUGACAGCCACAAUAUCUGAUUCAACAAUAACCUCAAUUUGUCAUUCACAGCAACAGAAAGACGUGUUCACACAGAAAUUCACAAAUAUUGUUAAACCACACCAAACUCUCAGACUAAAUAACCUGUAUGUUUUGUCAACAGGUGUUUCACUAAAGCACUUAACACACUCUCUUAUAAGAGCACCAUUUACUGAAAGUAUCUGACUGGAUGAAAGAAAAUUCAACUACCCAGCAGAAAGACCAGUGACAACUGUAUACAGUACAAUUAAAGCUGAAUACAGCCAACUAGUAGCACUUUCUAGACUGGCACCUGAUCAAAGUUAUUAAUUUACCACAGAUAUUUUUGUGUAGCCCAUGACUACAGUUAACCUGUGUCUUCAAAACUGGCCUUUACAGUAAAAACAGUACUUGGUGAUAUGUUUUUCAACAAUAUGGCUUCGUUUUUCUCCUUUCAGUCUCACCACCAAGGCCUUCAACCAAAUGUCAAGUCAUAGAGAAGCGUAUACAAUCAAUAGCAAUGCAUAGUUACAGUAGAUUAUGAUAAAGCAUUUCAACUGAAACAUACGGUUACUACCUGUGCUUCCACACAUUAAUUAAGGUCUAUAAUUGAAAGUAUUGAUAGUGAAAUGUAAGGGUCAUAAAACAAUGAAGGGUGUAGUUUAGCACUGCAGUGACGUAAACUCCACCCCUCUCAUUUCCCUUUGCUUCAACCACUUUGGCUGAAGCUAUUUGUGUUUGUGUGCACUUCCUGUUUAAAGGGUUUGUUAAAAGAGGGAGGAAAUGUGAGUGGGCGGAUGAGAGAAAAAGCCAGACAGCGAUAGAUAGACUGAGAAAGACGAUUUCAAAGAUGAAGAGUGUUACUAUAUAAGGUGUCCUAGUAAAAGCUCAAUAAUGCGUCAUUUUAAACCCUUCUCGAGUGAAAAUUAUGAGAACUUUCUGGAACCAAAAAGUAAGUUCAUAUAUAGAGCCCCUGGGGAGCAAAUGUGGCAGAGUCAGAUUGCUGAUUACAGGGCAGCAAGGACUUUGACGCCCCCCGACAGCAAAAAAACAGCCUCCCUUCCAAAGUCCUUACAAUGAAACCAGCUAAAAAAUUCACAAUUUUUGUCAAAUAAUGCCUACUGUAUGGCCAUAUCAAAAGGUAUAGUUCACCCAAAAAAUUAAAAUUGUCCUCAUUUACUUUCUUUCUUCUGUGGAACGCAAAAAACUUAAAAUAUGAUCCUCGAUUCAGAAUAUACCAGUAGUCAUAUGGAUUAUGUUACCUUUAUGUCCUUAUUAGAGCUUGAAAGUUUUGGGUCCCAUUAAAAAAAAAAUCAAUUAUCUUGUGCUUUGCAAAAGAAAGAAAGCCAUAUGAGUUUUUAGACAACAUGAGGGUGAGUAAACAAUCACAAUUCCCAUUUUUGGGUGACUGAUCCCUUUUAAAAUGAUUGAAAUGACAGAGUUCAUACUGCAGAAAUCAUUAAAACAUUGUCCAAAACAAGAACUUUAAACCUGACCAGCAUACAGUGUCUCUCCUAAUGUCUCUUUAGCUUUUUUUGCUCUGGUGCGUAGAUUUGAUACGCCUGCCAACCAAAACAGGCUAUAAUGCAUGCUAUGCACCCCUGCAGGAGCAACAUGACCCCAUAGGUGGACCAGAGUGUUGGUCCAGGGAGCCUAGGUGGCAUUGCAGGUGAUAGUACCAAAGUUGGGUUGAGAAGCACGGCCUGCAUCUCUACUUUGAUCAUUUGCAGCUCAUCCAGGAUCGACAGGAAGGUGCAGCAAUGGAACCACUGAUGGCUGUGACCCCAGAUAUCAAAGUUCCCUGGAGAAAAUCUUUCUGGGAUCUUACUGAUAUUGAAGAGGGCAGACACCAGCAGCCAAAAGCAAUGGCGGUAGAAGAAGACAGCCAUGGUGGAGAACAGAUGAGGGGAGGAGGAUGACGGCGAGCUCACGGAGAGACGGUAGAAGACAGGAGUGGAGGAGAGGAAAAACGGAAGGAGGAAGACAAGGGUGCGGACAGCAUAGCGGUACUUCCGCCAGCACUGUCUGGUGUUACAGCAGGUGAUGACGCAUAUGAUAGCGACCAGACAGGAGGAUGGGAUGUAGAGGCUUUCAAAGAACAGCUGGAAGUGAGUGGGAGAAGAUGCAGAGGGCCAAGCCUCAUCAUCGGCGUUUAGGCUCUUCCUUUGGGUAGAAUUCGGUCCCCCGAAUUCAAUCUCUAUUCCUGCUUGAGGAUGGAUGUAGUAGUAAUAUGCCAGUGAAGAACCCACUGUAUACGCACUAAUAGUCCCAUAGUCCACAAAGAAACAGAUUUCACGAAUGAUGAGUGACAUGGAGUUGAGAAGAUGAGCCAGGCUGCUGGCUAGCAGCAGGUACAACACCCCCAGGAAGUAAUUCCAGAAAGGGUAGAAAAAAGGACUGCUAGGUUCAGGCACUCCUUCCCACGUGAAAACCUCCACAAAGUGAAAGGCAAACACAAAAAUGGGGAGGAAAUGUGUCCAGAAGUUUCCGGUCUCAUUGGUGGGACGAAAAGCAGAGUAUAGGCACUGCCGUAGGCUGCAGUUGGGGAAACGAUAACCAGACAAAAUGAAGUUCUCAGUCACUCUCGGUGGAACGUCAGUGUGACGUAGUAAUGGAAGUGACCACAUGAUUGGACCGACCAAAAGACGAAUUCACUGAUUAGCAAGAAAAAUAUCUCCUGAGCUUAGAAACAUUGUUGAAUUACAGUACAUUUAUUAAACUGAUAACAUAGCUAGCACUACGAAGUUGAAGGUAGUUGUUAAAUAACUAGUAUUGCUUACAGAACGCUUGACUGUUGAACUGUAUGACAUCACAGAGGCAAAACUGUCAUUUUAAUAAUCCUUUAGAAGCAUUUAUGGAGUUCAUGUGCAGAUUUCAGCAGGCAAAGGCAAAUCCCAUGGCUCAAUACAAAUCCCAGCAGCAUGUGCUGAAAUGACUGGAUUUAGCAGAAAUAAACAAUCCUGCUGUUGCAAGUGCAAAGGUCAAUGGCUUCAGGGUCCCUUUUUUCCGUUAGCUCAAGUCUUUUCGUUUUAAAACUAUGAACAAUUAAAAAACGAUCGCCGAGGCUGCUUCUCUACCACUGUUCAAUUCUUCCAAGUGAACGAUCCGGCCGUGACGUUCAUGUCACCUGAGAUUCACACGACUUCGGUCACACUUAUGAGCAAACAGUGAGCUUGUUUUUUCAGUGCUGACGGUCUCGUUUGCUUCUCACUGCGGCUGCAUCUCUCCUGCAUUAAAGCUUUUGAAAGUAGGUCAUGUGGGACACCGUCGCACACCGGCCGGUCUCUUUAAACGAGCGUCACCCCUCAGUGUAUUAUUCAUGCUCCACCGUGCAUAAUUAAUCGGCCAGAUUAUCGCGUGCUGUCUCAUAUGAAGAUGCACUAAUGGAUAUUAUUUUAGACGAUCUCAACAACAGCCGUUUCGUGCAGUCUCACGGCGGUGUUUUACCUCAGAACGGGAACAGAGAACAUUUCUCACCAUUCAGCUGUCUGUGUGGCGGCUAAUUCCUCUAUUUUCGCCCAUGUUAAAUGCAGUAGUGCUGGUUUAAGCGUCUCUUCGCUCGACAUUCGCAUUACGGUGCUGUGUGAUCCGGCACGAGCUCUUAUCCAGGAAGGAGAUUUUUCAUUUCUGUUCGACAGCACUUCUAAAUAAACAGCCAACCGGCGUCUAGUCCCUUUAUCAUUAGAUUGCCCUUGACUUCCUGCACAAAUGCCGGCUGUGAGGUGCUGUAGGACGGUCUGUCGCUCUCUUGUCCGGACGUUACUUAAUCAGGAUAAAAGCGUCCGUGUUGCCAGCUCCGGCAAAGCAGCGCAGCACUGUAACGUGAUGUGUGUGUUUGUAGUCAUAAGAGCUGUAGUUUCUUUAAGUGUGCAACAAAUUCUCCGUCAGCAGCCAGUGUCUCUCUUUAUCUGUCUCUCUUUCUCACACAGACACUUAUGUAGGCUCUAUCUUUC
ensembl:lncRNA